rnacentral:tRNA from 1 species
GCACUGAUAGCUCAGCGGUAGAGCAAUCGGCUGCAGUCCGAUAGGUCCUCGGUUCAAGUCCGGGUCAGUGCU